AUUUAUGUAGUUUAUAAAAAACAUUACAUUUUCACUGUAAAAAUAAAUUCAUUUUCAUAAAUA
rnacentral:tRNA from 1 species